GAUCAGCUUGUGUACCCACUCUCAAAGUAAGCCACCACUAGUAGGCCUCAUCUCGUAGUAAGAACACUGCCCCCUUUAAUUUUUUCUCCACGGUACAGUCAAGAUCGUCCAUUAUUCAUUCGGUCACGUCUAACCAGUACUCCGUCACAUUUGGGGCUACACCAGAAAUACCUUUGAAAAUAUCCACUUCGUUAGACUAGAGUCGUUCUGAAAUUAACCCUCGGCCCACUAUUCCAGUACUAGCUCCAGUAACCCUCUCUAGAAC
rnacentral:lncRNA from 1 species